UAAUCAUCAACGUCGAAAGCUUUCGUCUUUCGAUGCUUGGAAUCUGGAGUCGUGCGAGUGCUCUCUUCAUCGAGCUGCCUCGCUCCUCUCGAAAUGCAUCGGUGACCGUCUCAUUCGCGGAUCCUCCGGCGUGAUAAUUAUCUACGUCGCCGCGUAUCCGCGUCCGACAGACGUCGCCUAUAACCGUCCCUCGUCGGACAAUCUUAUGACGA
rnacentral:misc_RNA from 1 species